UGUAGGGAGGCCGCAUUCACGCAAGUGUUGGCAGGAAUAUUAUUCAAAGUUUGAAAAUGAUGAACCAAGAACUCAAGGAAUUGAGUUUGUACAUCGUGAAGAAUUUCAUGGUUUGUCCAAAUAAGGAGAAACUGAGGACCAAAGACCACAAGUGUAAGUUGAUUUUCACGCAGAAGACCAUUGUUGAGGAAAUACAUGAUCCAUAUUUCAACAUGUGUAUCUUCAAAUUCAGACCUUAUGAGCAGUUUUCUAAUCCACAAAAAAUUGACGACACCGAACUAUUCGGUAAUUAAAUCUUUUUCCUUUUUUCUUUUACUUUCCGUUAUUUGCUUUCUGUAGUCCAUGGGUUGAACUGAUAGCUAAUACCUACAAACCAAACUACUAUCUAUAACUAUUAUCUACAUUAUACUGUUAAACUUUAAACAACAGCCCAUGAGCCAAAGUAAUAAUUUCAAUAAAUCUAAACUCUUUGAGCAUCUGGUGGAUCUCAUGCUUUUACACGUUAAAACUCAAUAUUAUUUCGCAGAACAGGAAAUGAAUCUACCAACAUUACAUAUUAUGUGUUAAAUAAAAUUAUUUACAUUUGCACCAAACAAAGAUUAUGCUGAAGGGAAUUCAUACGGAUGUCCAUGUCACUUUUACGAAAUAAUCUGCACUUUUCAGUUCUUCGACAUACAUACAUAUUAAUUCUUUUAAAUUAUUGCUUUAAACAUACCUCAACUAUGACCAAUUCUGCACUGAUUUCUGUGGUCCAUAUUUUUGUAGAUGUUAUCGGCGAAAUUGUGAGUUAUGGGGACGUAUAGUCUGUUAAUCAAGAUGGUAACGUCCGUAUGUUCAUGAACGUUGAGCUGCAGGAUUAUAAAUAAGCUUUCCACGACUAAUAAAUGUUUAAUUAGUUUGUAAUUUUGAAUCAUGUGCUUAACCUUAUAACAAUUGUAGGAGCAACAACAUAUCUACAACAUUUUGGGGCGACUUUGUGGAACAGAUCAAGCCACAUUUGAUUGAAUCGAAUGAUAAGCCUGUUGUCGUCGUCAUGCAGUUGGUUAGAGCACAUCGAUUUCGAGGUUAUUAAGUUGUCUACUUAUUUUGCAAUUCUAUGUCUUUGUACAAUUAGCAAACUCUUAUUAAUAUAAUUAAGCGUGCAGAACAAUAUUCAGUGAGGAACACUUGACACGUUUCCAAGCUUUGGAUCAAUUCAGAUCUUCCUCAAAUUCUUGACUUUAGCUCCAGAAUCGUCUCAGUGUGUGGAGAAAGCUCACAAAGAAUUACUCAAAUUUCAUCUCAAAAGACUCAUUCUAUUGAAGAUGAAUUAGCAUCUGGAAGUGUCGGAGUUAAAACUAUUGAGGCUUUGAUUGACUCUAAGCAUCCGGGAAACUUCUGGAUUGUAGCAACCAUUGUAUACAUAGACCUCGAGCAUGGAUGGUCUAUUUAGCAUGCAAAAUGUGCGCAAAGAAGGUUGAGCCAAAGGGGAAUAAGUUCUAUUGUAAAAAAUGCGGGCAAGUUCCAUCUGCCAGUCAUAGGUUCAAGCUAAAAUUAGGAGUGAUAGAUGACACCGGUACAAUUAUUUUGAUGAUGUGGGAUAGGGAUGCAGCAAAAAUGAUCGGAAAGUCGGCAAAUGAUUUAAAAAAUGUUGUAUCUGAGGUGACUUGAAGCCUGGAGCAGAGGUCAAAAUUACUAGAGCUGUUGAUAAAGAAACGCUCAUGACAAAAAAUUCAAAUGCCACCAUUAAAAUGCUUGCCAUUGGAACUGGAAUUAUUCCAUUCAGUUUAUUCCUAUGUAAAAUGUUCUUCAAGAAACACGACGAUUACAAGAGAUGUUGGACUACUCUUUUCCGCAUGGAAGUGGCAAGCCGCUGGAGAUAUUAGCAAAGCUAAAUGAGUUGGUUCGCUUUUCACCUGAUGAAAACAUUGGUCUUUUUUAUGCUAAUUUUUCAUCUUCUCUUGCUGCACAGUUUUUAACUCAAAACAAAUGGUUAAUAAUGAAGUUGAAGCAACUAUAUAUACCAUGGGAAAAUGUUAGUAUGUGAUAA